UACGUAGGUGGCGAGCGUUGUCCGGAUUUACUGGGCGUAAAGCGCGCGCAGGCGGUUGGUUAAGUCUGAUGUGAAAUCUCCCGGCUUAACUGGGAGGAGUCAUUGGAUACUGGCCAGCUUGAGGAAGGUAGAGGAGAGUGGAAUUCCCGGUGUAGUGGUGGAAUGCGUAGAUAUCGGGAGGAACACCAGUGGCGAAAGCGGCUCUCUGGGCCUUUCCUGACGCUGAGGCGCGAAAGCGUGGGGAGCAAACCGG
rnacentral:rRNA from 1 species